rnacentral:ribozyme from 1 species
UGCCCAGCAACUCCUAUCCCUACCUCCACGCGGUACCGGCCGGAAACUAUGAGCAACCUUAGGGAAGAUCGGGUAACCAACCCCAAUGGGACCUUUGGUCGUAGGCUGACAGGGAAGG